UUGAUCCCGCCGGAGACCAUCGCUAUCCGAGUUCGACUUAGACAUGCGAGCCGUGAGGGGUAAGCCCUCGGCGAACUGCUCUGUAAUACACAGCCAACCUCCCCUAAGGAGGAGAGGAAUCUCGAGAAAUUGAGGCUAAUGUUCCAUAGGCAUUGAUUUCUGGAAUGAUUCAAUGUUCAAAGGCGCAAGCUGCCUUAGGAUGGGACUGUGCGUUAUCAGGCUGUUGUUGGUGUAAAGAACCAACAAACCGAUAACGGCUAAGGGUCAUGGAAGUGAAGGCCCUGAGAUGGAUUCUGAGACAUGAAUCCAGGUACUACGGUACGCAGCAGUUACGAAAACUUUGCAAUGCGCUGACGCGCGACAAGGGGACUUGGAGUGUUCUUGCAUUGCAAGAACUUUUACUCUCUGAAAACAGGAGAGGGAAUAAGGACUGGGAGACACGGGUGCCAGCCACCGCGGUAAUACCCGGAGUCCGAGUGAUGGUCACGAUUAUUUGGCCUAAAGCAUCCGUAGGCGGUCUAAUAAGUCUCUUAUGAAAUCCUUUAGCAAACUAAAGGGCUUGUAAGAGAUACUAUUAGACUUGAGACCGAGAGAGGACAGCGAUACUUCUUAGGUAGGGGUUAAAUCCUUUAAUCUAAGAAGGAUCACCUGUGGCGAAGGCGGCUGUCUGGAGCGGGUCUGACGCUGAGGGAUGAAAGCUAGGGGAGCAAUCGGGAUUAGAUACCCCGGUAGUCCUAGCUGUAAACGAUGCCCACUUGGUGUUGCAGGCUUCUUGGGAGCUUGCAGUGCCGGAGCGUAGGUGUUAAGUGGGCCGCCUGGGGAGUAUACUCGCAAGGGUGAAACUUAAGGGAAUUGGCGGGGGAGCACACAAGGGGUGGAGGCUGCGGUUUAAUUGGAGUCAACGCCGG
rnacentral:rRNA from 1 species